ACGAACGCUGGCGGCACGCUUAACACAUGCAAGUCGAACGAGAGAAGAGAAGCUUGCUUUUCUGAUCUAGUGGCGGACGGGUGAGUAACACGUGAGCAAUCUGCCUUUCAGAGGGGGAUACCGAUUGGAAACGAUCGUUAAUACCGCAUAACAUAAUUGAACCGCAUGAUUUGAUUAUCAAAGAUUUAUCGCUGAAAGAUGAGCUCGCGUCUGAUUAGCUAGUUGGUAAGGUAACGGCUUACCAAGGCGACGAUCAGUAGCCGGACUGAGAGGUUGAUCGGCCACAUUGGGACUGAGACACGGCCCAGACUCCUACGGGAGGCAGCAGUGGGGAAUAUUGCACAAUGGAGGAAACUCUGAUGCAGCGAUGCCGCGUGAGGGAAGAAGGUUUUAGGAUUGUAAACCUCUGUCUUCAGGGACGAAAAAUGACGGUACCUGAGGAGGAAGCUCCGGCUAACUACGUGCCAGCAGCCGCGGUAAUACGUAGGGAGCGAGCGUUGUCCGGAAUUACUGGGUGUAAAGGGAGCGUAGGCGGGAUCGCAAGUCAGAUGUGAAAACUAUGGGCUUAACCCAUAAACUGCAUUUGAAACUGUGGUUCUUGAGUGAAGUAGAGGUAAGCGGAAUUCCUAGUGUAGCGGUGAAAUGCGUAGAUAUUAGGAGGAACAUCAGUGGCGAAGGCGGCUUACUGGGCUUUAACUGACGCUGAGGCUCGAAAGCGUGGGGAGCAAACAGGAUUAGAUACCCUGGUAGUCCACGCCGUAAACGAUGAUUACUAGGUGUGGGGGGACUGACCCCUUCCGUGCCGCAGCAAACGCAAUAAGUAAUCCACCUGGGGAGUACGACCGCAAGGUUGAAACUCAAAGGAAUUGACGGGGGCCCGCACAAGCAGUGGAGUAUGUGGUUUAAUUCGACGCAACGCGAAGAACCUUACCAAGUCUUGACAUCCGCCUGACCGAUCCUUAACCGGAUCUUUCCUUCGGGACAGGCGAGACAGGUGGUGCAUGGUUGUCGUCAGCUCGUGUCGUGAGAUGUUGGGUUAAGUCCCGCAACGAGCGCAACCCUUACUGUUAGUUGCUACGCAAGAGCACUCUAGCAGGACUGCCGUUGACAAAACGGAGGAAGGUGGGGAUGACGUCAAAUCAUCAUGCCCCUUAUGACCUGGGCCUCACACGUACUACAAUGGCUGUCAACAGAGGGAAGCAAAGCCGCGAGGUGGAGCAAACCCCUAAAAGCAGUCUUAGUUCGGAUUGUAGGCUGCAACCCGCCUACAUGAAGUCGGAAUUGCUAGUAAUCGCAGAUCAGCAUGCUGCGGUGAAUACGUUCCCGGGCCUUGUACACACCGCCCGUCACGCCAUGGGAGUCGGUAACACCCGAAGCCUGUAGUCUAACCGCAAGGAGGACGCAGUCGAAGGUGGGAUUGAUGACUGGGGUG
rnacentral:rRNA from 1 species